AUUUAAGGUCACAAUUAUAAUUUACUCUAACUUUCUGCACAUAACUCAACUUCUACAAAUUCAUGUCAUUUUGAAAUAUUUAUGGUUUACAUACUGCAACACUCCAACAUUUAUGCAAGGCAAAAAGAAAUCGCAAAUGAAACACCAUAAAAAAGGGGAAUUGCCACAAUCUGUAAUACAAGUCUGGUAAAGAUAUUAUUAGGGUAGUGGAUGAGGUCAUUUCUUCAACUUCAACGUCAUCAACCAAAAAAAUUUGUGUCACCGUCAAAAUCAAAGAUAUCAGGUUACCUGCAAUAGAUGAUAUAGAUAACUACAUUUAGGGCAGUCAACUACAAACUCAAAUCACAUCUUCAUCUCAAUACACUUCACAAGAGAAGUUUAUGUACAAUGCUCAAGCUAAAACUCUUCGCCAAAUCAAUGCUAUUGGACAUGAAAUGAUUUGUGUCACUGUGGCAACUCUGUCAAAGGUUGUGGCAGACAAAUUCGAUUGGUUUUAUCUUGAUUGCACUAAUUGCACAGUCAAAACUAAAGAAGGGAUUACAAAUUAUCAGUGUAAAUGUGGUGUUCAGGUUGACAAACCAAUUCCAAGAACUUCAAGAUAUAAUGGGGACCACUCUAGCUUUUCAUGUAAAACUACAACCAUCUUUAAAGCAGUGUUAUGUUAAUAAGUCAUGGAGUGAUGUUGCACUUAUUGUUGUAAUUAAGGAACAAUUUCAAAUU